UGCAGGUCGACGAUUCCUACUCUUGACAUCCAGAGAAUCCUUUAGAGAUAGAGGAGUGCCUUCGGGAGCUCUGAGACAGGUGCUGCAUGGCUGUCGUCAGCUCGUGUUGUGAAAUGUUGGGUUAAGUCCCGCAACGAGCGCAACCCUUAUCCUUUGUUGCCAGCGCGUGAUGGCGGGAACUCAAAGGAGACUGCCGGUGAUAAACCGGAGGAAGGUGGGGAUGACGUCAAGUCAUCAUGGCCCUUACGAGUAGGGCUACACACGUGCUACAAUGGCAGAUACAAAGAGAAGCGACCUCGCGAGAGCAAGCGGAACUCAUAAAGUCUGUCGUAGUCCGGAUUGGAGUCUGCAACUCGACUCCAUGAAGUCGGAAUCGCUAGUAAUCGUAGAUCAGAAUGCUACGGUGAAUACGUUCCCGGGUCUUGUACACACCG
rnacentral:rRNA from 1 species